rnacentral:rRNA from 1 species
GGGGAAUUUUCCGCAAUGGGCGAAAGCCUGACGGAGCAAUACCGCGUGAGGGAUGACGGCCUAUGGGUUGUAAACCUCUUUUUUCAGGGAGGAAUCAAUGACGUGUACCUGAAGAAUAAGCAUCGGCUAACUCCGUGCCAGCAGCCGCGGUAAGACGGAGGAUGCAAGUGUUAUCCGGAAUCACUGGGCGUAAAGCGUCUGUAGGUGGUUUAAUAAGUCAACUGUUAAAUCUUGAGGCUCAACCUCAAAAUCGCAGUCGAAACUAUUAGACUAGAGUAUAGUAGGGGUAAAGGGAAUUUCCAGUGGAGCGGUGAAAUGCGUAGAUAUUGGAAGGAACACCGAUGGCGAAGGCACUUUACU